CCCUUAGAUGUCCUGGGCCGCACGCGUGCUACACUGACGCAUACAGCGAGCACUUUCCAGUUCCGAGAGGCUGCUGGUAAUCAUCAAUAUGCGUCGUGAUGGGGAUAGAUCUUUGGAAUUCUGGAUCUUGAACGAGGAAUGCCUAGUAAUCGCAGGUCAUUAGCCUGCGAUGAUUAAGUCCCUGCCCUUUGUACACACCGCCCGUCGCUACUACCGAUUUCGAGUGGUCAGGUGAAUCUUUCGGACUGUGGGCGCCCUUGAGGUGUUCGCGGAAAGUCAGGUAAAUCUUAUCACUUAGAGGAAGUAAAAGUCGUAACA
rnacentral:rRNA from 1 species